UUAGAUGAUAUUUUGAAGUCAGCUCUGCCCAAUGAAUGUUUAAUGGCCGCGGUAUUUUGACCGUGCAAAGGUAGCAUAAUAAUUAGUUUUUUAAUUGAAAACUGGAAUGAAUGAGUAAACGAGAUUCUGACUGUCUCUAUUUUAUUAAUAGAAUUUUAUUUUUAAGUUAAAAAGCUUAAAUUUUUUAAAAAGACGAGAAGACCCUAUAGAUUUUUAUAAUUAUGUUGAUUUUUUUAAAUUAGGAUUUAUUGAAAUUUUAAUUGAUUAUUUGAUUGGGGUGAUUGAAAAAUUUAUUUAACUUUUUUUUGUUUCUUUACAUUAAUUUAUGGCUGAUUGAUCCAUUUUUUUUUGAUUAUAAGAUUAAAUUACCUUAGGGAUAACAGCGUUAUUUCUCCUGGAAGUUCGUAUUUAUGGAGAAGUUUGCGACCUCGAUGUUGGAUUAAAAUAAAUUUUUAAUGCAGAAGUUAAUUAAUUAAGUCUGUUCGACUUUUAAAUUUUUACAUGAUCUGAGUUUAAACCGGCGUGAGCCAGGUUGGUUUCUAUCUUUUAUAAUUAUAUAUUAAUUAGUACGAAAGGACCAUUAAUUGAGUAUUUUACUUUACUUUGAUUAAAAUUGUUAUUUUGGCAGAUUAGUGCAAUAAAUUUAGAAUUUAUGUAUGUAUGUUUAUUACAAGUAAUACUUGGUAUUCAAGGAUUAUUUAAUGUUAGUAUUUUCUUUGUUAAUUUUAUUGGUUGGGGUAUUAGUGGGUGUUGCUUUUAUAGUUUUAUUGGAACGUAAGGUUU
rnacentral:rRNA from 1 species